rnacentral:rRNA from 1 species
GAUGAACGCUGGCGGCGUGCCUAAUACAUGCAAGUCGAGCGAACAGACGAGGAGCUUGCUCCUCUGACGUUAGCGGCGGACGGGUGAGUAACACGUGGAUAACCUACCUAUAAGACUGGGAUAACUUCGGGAAACCGGAGCUAAUACCGGAUAAUAUAUUGAACCGCAUGGUUCAAUAGUGAAAGACGGUUUUGCUUUCAAUUAUAGAUGGAUCCGCGCCGCGUUAGCUAGUUGGUAAGGUAACGGCUUACCAAGGCAACGAUGCGUAGCCGACCUGAGAGGGUGAUCGGCCACACUGGAACUGAGACACGGUCCAGACUCCUACGGGAGGCAGCAGUAGGGAAUCUUCCGCAAUGGGCGAAAGCCUGACGGAGCAACGCCGCGUGAGUGAUGAAGGUCUUCGGAUCGUAAAACUCUGUUAUUAGGGAAGAACAAAUGUGUAAGUAACUAUGCACGUCUUGACGGUACCUAAUCAGAAAGCCACGGCUAACUACGUG